UCCCUCUGUCCUUCAUUCCACCGGAGUCUGUCGGCACAACCAGAUUUCAGUGGCGUGAAGAGCAGGAGGCG
rnacentral:pre_miRNA from 1 species